UACGGAGGGGGCUAGCGUUGCUCGGAAUCACUGGGCGUAAAGCGCACGCAGGCGGAUCGAUAAGUCGGGGGUGAAAGCCCGGGGCUCAACCUCGGAAUUGCCUUCGAUACUGUCAGUCUCGAGUCCUGGAGAGGUGAGUGGAAUUCCUAGUGUAGAGGUGAAAUUCUUAGAUAUUAGGAAGAACACCAGUGGCGAAGGCGGCUCACUGGCCCGGUACUGACGCUCAGGUGCGAAAGCGUGGGGAGCAAACAGG
rnacentral:rRNA from 1 species